AACAAGGCGUACCUGCGGACCUGCGGAGGGAUCAUUACGAGUGACCCCGGUCUAACCACCGGGAUGUUCAUAACCCUUUGUUGUCCGACUCUGUUGCCUCCGGGGCGACCCUGCCUUCGGGCGGGGGCUCCGGGUGGACACUUCAAACUCUUGCGUAACUUUGCAGUCUGAGUAAACUUAAUUAAUAAAUUAAAACUUUUAACAAUGGAUCU
rnacentral:misc_RNA from 1 species